UGGAGCACAUGUCUGGGAACAGCAGGGAAAGACACAGAUGAGCCUGGGAAAGGAAACAGACGUCCAGAGGUUCAGUGACUGUCGCUGAGAAAACAAAUUCCCACUGUAAUGAGGCACUGCCCGUGUGUCUCUCCGCAAAUGUGGAUCACAGCAGGAAUCGUUCAUAAAUUCUUCAUCCAGCAUUAACAGGAGAUUUGAUUUAAAGGUCUGCUCAGAAGAAUUCUUUAGAAAUGGAGAGGAAAGAGGCCUUUGUGAUUUCCGCCGGUGUCAUCAUUCUUUUAACAUUAACAGGCUCGGUGGAGGGAACAGUAAAAGACAAAUGCACAAAACUGCCAUGUGACAAAACAAGCUUUGAUGCUGCCGUUUAUGAGUACUGUGUUGUCCAAUUCAACCAAACGAUGGCAACAACUGACUACCAACUCAAAUGUCCCUGGCCAACGGCUAGACAAUACUACAUCAACCUGACCACGUGCAUGGAGAUGUUGGGCAAAUAUACAUGCUGCACACAAGUUUCCUUCAAACACAAGAUCUUGCUGGAAAUCCAUCAGAUCUAUUUCUCCUUGU